GAACGGCUGGCUCAAAAUGAGAAUCGAAUUGGUGGCGCAUAUCCCUAAAGAAGUUGGGAGAGGAUAAAGGAUCUUUUGUAAUUUUACCCCAAUUGCUUUUAAAUGAGUUCAGAUCAAAGAAUAAGUAAAAAUAAGUUGUUAUGGUAAGGAUAUCUUAUUCCAUGAACAGCUUAUGGAUUGGUCAGGCAGCCCAGCUUUCAAGCUCAAUGCUGCUAAGUGAAUGACCACAUGUAGAGCGCAGAGGCACCCAGCUACGCCCAACAAAGCCAAGACACCUGAGAAAUAUACAUACACCUUGGUUGUUUGAAGCCAGUCAGUGUGGAAGUAUUCUGUUACACAGCAAGAGGUAACUGAAAUGGGGAAGACCACAAAGGACAAGAGCCCUACACACAUUGUCAUAUUUAAAUUAUGUGUUGAAGGCAACAUUGGAACAAAAGAGAAAUAGCCUGCUCCGAGGCUUGGAGGCAACCAUGAGU